AGAUUGAACGCUGGCGGCGUGCCUAACACAUGCAAGUCGAGCGGCAGCGCGGGGGCGACCCUGGCGGCGAGCGGCGGACGGGUGAGUAAGGCAUCGGAAUCUGCCCUGAUGUGGGGGAUAACGUAGGGAAACUUACGCUUAAUACCGCAUACGACCGAGAGGUGAAAGCGGGGGACCGAAAGGCCUCGCGCAGCAGGAUGAGCCGAUGUCCGAUUAGCUAGUUGGUGGGUAACGGUCCUACCAAGGCGACGAUCGGUAGCUGGUCUGAGAGGGAUGAUCAGCCACACUGGGACUGAGACACGGGCCCAGACUCCUACGGGAGGCAGC
rnacentral:rRNA from 1 species